UACGUAGGUCCCGAGCGUUGUCCGGAUUUAUUGGGCGUAAAGCGAGCGCAGGUGGUUUAUUAAGUCUGGUGUAAAAGGCAGUGGCUCAACCAUUGUAUGCAUUGGAAACUGGUAGACUUGAGUGCAGGAGAGGAGAGUGGAAUUCCAUGUGUAGCGGUGAAAUGCGUAGAUAUAUGGAGGAACACCGGUGGCGAAAGCGGCUCUCUGGCCUGUAACUGACACUGAGACGCGAAAGCGUGGGGAGCAAACAGG
rnacentral:rRNA from 1 species